rnacentral:rRNA from 1 species
UACGAAGGGGGCUAGCGUUGCUCGGAAUCACUGGGCGUAAAGGGUGCGUAGGCGGGUCUUUAAGUCAGGGGUGAAAUCCUGGAGCUCAACUCCAGAACUGCCUUUGAUACUGAAGAUCUUGAGUUCGGGAGAGGUGAGUGGAACUGCGAGUGUAGAGGUGAAAUUCGUAGAUAUUCGCAAGAACACCAGUGGCGAAGGCGGCUCACUGGCCCGGAACUGACGCUGAGACGCGAAAGCGUGGGAGCAAACAGG